UACGGGGGGGGCGAGCGUUGUUCGGAAUUACUGGGCGUAAAGGGCGCGUAGGCGGUUCGCUAAGUUGGAUGUGAAAACUCUGGGCUCAACCCAGAGCCUGCAUCCAAAACUGGCGGGCUAGAGUUCUGGAGGGGGUAGCGGAAUUCCUGGUGUAGCGGUGAAAUGCGUAGAUAUCAGGAGGAACACCUGUGGCGAAAGCGGCUCACUGGACCAUAACUGACGCUGAUGCACGAAAGCUAGGGGAGCAAACAGG
rnacentral:rRNA from 1 species